rnacentral:rRNA from 1 species
AUUGAACGCUGGCGGCAUGCCUUACACAUGCAAGUCGAACGGCCGCACGGGUGCUUGCACCUGGUGGCGAGUGGCGAACGGGUGAGUAAUACAUCGGAACAUGUCCUGUAGUGGGGGAUAGCCCGGCGAAAGCCGGAUUAAUACCGCAUACGAUCUACGGAUGAAAGCGGGGGACCUUCGGGCCUCGCGCCAUAGGGUUGGCCGAUGGCUGAUUAGCUAGUUGGUGGGGUAAAGGCCUACCAAGGCGACGAUCAGUAGCUGGUCUGAGAGGACGACCAGCCACACUGGGACUGAGACACGGCCCAGACUCCUACGGGAGGCAGCAGUGGGGAAUUUUGGACAAUGGGCGAAAGCCUGAUCCAGCAAUGCCGCGUGUGUGAAGAAGGCCUUCGGGUUGUAAAGCACUUUUGUCCGGAAAGAAAUCCUUGGCCCUAAUACGGUCGGGGGAUGACGGUACCGGAAGAAUAAGCACCGGCUAACUACGUG